rnacentral:rRNA from 1 species
GGCGUAAAGAGCUUGUAGGCGGCUUGUCGCGUCUGCUGUGAAAGCCCGGGGCUUAACCCCGGGUCUGCAGUGGGUACGGGCAGGCUAGAGUGUGGUAGGGGAGACUGGAAUUCCUGGUGUAGCGGUGGAAUGCGCAGAUAUCAGGAGGAACACCGAUGGCGAAGGCAGGUCUCUGGGCCAUUACUGACGCUGAGAAGCGAAAGCGUGGGGAGCGAACAGGAUUAGAUACCCUGGUAGUCCACGCCGUAAACGUUGGGCGCUAGGUGUGGGUCCCAUUCCACGGGGUCCGUGCCGCAGCUAACGCAUUAAGCGCCCCGCCUGGGGAGUACGGCCGCAAGGCUAAAACUCAAAGGAAUUGACGGGGGCCCGCACAAGCGGCGGAGCAUGCGGAUUGAUUCGAUGCAACGCGAAGAACCUUACCAAGGCUUGACAUGUACCGGAAACCCUCGGAGACGGGGGCCCCGCAAGGCUGGUACACAGGUGGUGCAUGGUUGUCGUCAGCUCGUGUCGUGAGAUGUUGGGUUAAGUCCCGCAACGAGCGCAACCCUCGUUCUAUGUUGCCAGCGGUUCGGCCGGGGACUCAUAGGAGACUGCCGGGGUCAACUCGGAGGAAGGU